rnacentral:lncRNA from 1 species
GGUCUUAAGGCUUAAACAGUUUCCCCCAAUUUGCAAAAUCACACCGAUUCAGUGCAAUUGAAGAAAUAUCCAAGCCUAAAUAAGAUGUGCUCUCUCUCCGAUCUCAUUCUCUCUAUUUUUUUCUCGAAAAAAUAGCUUGAAAUUUGCAAAAUAAGGAGAGAUCAUGCCAAAUUUUUUGAUUUAGGCUUGAUUUUAUGAUAUGUUGUAGAUUUAUAGAUGAUCUAUACGAUAACAUAAAAAUUUAAAAUUUUAAAUUAUAUAUAAUUUUAAAAAAUCUAAAAAUAUAUUUUCAAUAUAAAAAAUAUAAAAAAAAUAUAUAAAAUUAUAAGCAUAUUUAGGGGCAUGCAAGCUACUCUCCAGCAAAAUUUGGUGUCCAUUUAUUAAGAGGAAAGAGCAGCGAAGGAACGUGACGAGCAAAUUAUCGUCUCGAGAUGUUAGAAGGUGCAAAAUCAAUAGGUGCCGGAGCUGCUACAAUUGCUUCAACCGGAGCUGCUGUCGGUAUUGGAAACGUCCUCAGUUCCUCGAUUCAUUCCGUGGCGCGAAACCUUCCGCGCCCCACGCUGGAUUUACAGAUUGUACUUUUCCAGCCCUUACUCUCAGUCACUGAUUCAAGAACGAAUACCGCCUCAAACACUUCUCCAGCGGCUUCACUGGUCGCUGGUCUGCCAUUCUCAGUGUCUAGAACUCCCCAUGUGCAAAAUGGCCAUGGAGAGGUA